CCCCGGCUAAACCGGGAGAGGUCGUCUGAGACUGCCGUGCUAGAGUGUGGUAGAGGGGUGUAGAAUUCCGGGUGUAGUGGUGAAAUGCGUAGAGAUCCGGAGGAAUACCAGUGGCGAAGGCGGCACCUGGACCACGACUGACGCUGAGACGCGAAAGCAUGGGGAGCGAACGGGAUUAGAAACCCCGGUAGUCCAUGCCGUAAACGAUGUGCACUAGGUGUUCUGGCCCUACGGGGUUGGAGUGCCGCAGCCAACGCGAUAAGUGCACCGCCUGGGGAGUACGGUCGCAAGGCUAAAACUCAAAGGAAUUGACGGGGGCCCGCACAAGCAGCGGAGCGUGUGGUUUAAUUCGAGGCUACGCGAAGAACCUUACCUGGGUUUGACAUAGCGGUGGUAGGGAAGCGAAAGUGGACCGACCUUCGGGAGCCGUUACAGGUGCUGCAUGGCUGUCGUCAGCUCGUGUCGUGAGAUGUUCGGUUAAGUCCGAAAACGAGCGCAACCCCUGGUGCUAGUUACAAGUGUCUAGCGCGACUGCCCGUGACAAACGGGAGGAAGGUGGGGAUGACGUCAAGUCAGCAUGGCCUUUAUAUCCAGGGCUACACACACGCUACAAUGGCCGGUACAGUAGGUAGCCAAGCCGCGAGGCGGAGCCAAUCCUCCAAAGCCGGUCCCAGUUCGGAUUGUAGGCUGCAACUCGCCUGCAUGAAGUUGGAGUUGCUAGUAACCGCAGGUCAGCAACACUGCGGUGAAUACGUUCCCGGGCCUUGUACACACCGCCCGUCACGUCAUGGGAGCUGGUCACGCCUGAAGUCGGGAAGCUAACCGCAAGGGGGCUACUGCCGAGGGCAGGGCUGGUGACUGGGACGAAGUCGUAACAAGGUAACCAAGGGCGAA
rnacentral:rRNA from 1 species